rnacentral:rRNA from 1 species
GAUGAACGCUAGCGGCAGGCUUAAUACAUGCAAGUCGUGGGGCAGCAGGGGCGUAGCAAUACGCUCGCUGGCGACCGGCAAACGGGUGUGGAACACGUACACAACCUUCCUUCAAGCGGGGAAUAGCCCGGGGAAACCCGGAUUAAUACCCCAUAAAAUGUUGGUUCUGCAUGGAACUAAUAUUAAAGCUCCGGCACUUGAAGAUGGGUGUGCGCCUGAUUAGGCAGUUGGCGGGGUAACGGCCCACCAAACCUACGAUCAGUAACUGGUGUGAGAGCACGACCAGUCACACGGGCACUGAGACACGGGCCCGACUCCUACGGGAGGCAGCAGUAAGGAAUAUUGGUCAAUGGACGCAAGUCUGAACCAGCCAUGCCGCGUGGAGGAUAAAGGUCCUCUGGAUUGUAAACUUCUUUUAUCUGGGAAGAAAUCCAAGAAUUCUUUUUUGGUUGACGGUACCAGAUGAAUAAGCACCGGCUAACUCCGUGCCAGCCGCCGCGGUAAGAC